CACACACACACACACACACACACACACACACACACACACACACUCGGACUAUAUUUGGGGCUGCUGCACGCGCUGACACAGUUGAUGGAGCUGCAGUGUGUGAGAGACUUGAAGAAUCUGAGCCGUGCAGAGAAACUCCAGCGUGCAGAUGUUCUGAUCCGGUGGCCCGUCCUGAACACAGACAGAUCCAGUCAUGAUCCCUUUUUCUCCCUGAGGAACUGACCAAUCAGCAGCCAGGAUGAUGCCCAAGCAGCGGGCUCAGACGUCUCCGGGCAGCGGUUUGUCUCUCCGAGGACCCAGCGUCCC